rnacentral:lncRNA from 1 species
UCAGCUCAUGGGGAUGCAACUGAAGUACAAUAAUUUUCUGAGGUUUUUUUUUAGAAAUGCGCCAUCUAGUGACGGAUGCCCCGUAACUUGGGUAUUUGUACUUCGUUUUAGUCACUAGAUGUCACUGCACCUUAGACCGAUAUUUCAUCGAUUUAAUAACAAAUCUAAAAAAAGUUUUGUGAUUAGAAAUAUUAACAAAUAUUGUAAUUAAAUAAUUUUAUGAUUUAUUUUUAAUUCUUUUUUAUCUAUGAGGACGUCUUAGUUAAUCACAAUAAUCACACUACUUGAAACCACUUGAAACACUGACGAUUGACAUUGACAGUCGACCAUACUUUUAAAUUAAACCGUUUUCCGUUUUCUAACGUGUUGGUUUAUUCUGAGUGUUAUUUUCUGGUUUUUUUAUUACGAUUGUUGCGUGUUCCUGGACUCUGAUACUGACUGCUUCUGUGAUUGACCUGGCUUCGUAUUUUGGACCUGUGAUCUACUGCAUUUUCAUUGACCCGGCUUUGUAUUUUGGAACCUCGAUCGACUGCUUUUACAUUGACCCGGCACCGUAUUUAGGACUAGAAAAUGCGUCCAGUGGAUCGUCUUAGGGGCGGAAUGCCAUCAACGUCAAGAUAUAAGUGCUACUUUGAUUGUGACAAUGACGGUAAGUUCAAAACUUUUAACUUUAUAAUGCACGUAAUUUAUCUUUUGCUGAUAGGCUGCACAAUAUCCAUUAUUGUCAUCCGUGCAAUCUGUGGUCAUCAUAGUCCUUGAGUCAUCAAAAAUCUAAGAUGCACUACCACACACACUCCUGUCCUGACCCUACACAAACAAUUGAAACUGCACAUUAACUUUUAUAUCCAAUCAAAAGACUCGGAAUCUACGUAUAAGACAAAGCCCGCUCUAGACGACCCUCUGACCAAAUAACUUCAUCAGGUUUUAAAACUAUGAUUUUACAGUGGCGUAGCAUGGGAUUCCGCCGCCCGGGGCGCAGGUAUAUUUAGCUGCCGGUCAGUGGGUAGUCUUAGGGGCGAGCCCCCUUAUUUAGGUACUUAUUUAAAUUCAAAUGACUACAAUUUAAUAAAAUUCUAAAGAUGGUUUUGGCAAGAAAGAAUUAUUAUUGAUAUCGACUCAUGACCAGGUGCGGUCUCAGCCCAUGAUUUUGGGAUUCACUAGGGUGCUGGAAGGAAUACUUUCAGAAAUUGUUACUGGCUCUCUUUGAUAUGUAGUGCAGCAGUGUGAAAAUUUUAGCAUCCUACCUAGGAUUUUGUUGAUUCAUACACUAAUGAUCUAUGUAUAACUUUGUCGAUUCAUACAGCAUGCAACAAUAUUUUUUGCAAACUAGGAUAUGUUAGAUUUUCCUUUAAAGCUCAAAAAACAUAAAGCCUUGUGUGGACUAAGCAUUUAUUGUCAAAUUAAACGAAAAACAAGCAGAUGUAAAAAUUCAAGAGCGAGUCGAAAAAUUUAGUACCCUGCCUGCCUGAUAGGUUAGAUCUUCUUUUAGUAGACAAGAAGUUAUUGGGAGGUAGGCUAGAAGUAUAGAUAGAUAUCUAUCUAUCUUGUUGUAUUUGUUAUGGUGGUGGUGGUGGUAUCUAUACACACUAUGUACACCAUAACAAAUUACAAUUUAAAACUUAAUAACUAAAAGGGGUGUAACAAUGGGUGGUCUUAUCGCUAAAAGCGAUCUUUUACAGACAACCUUUAAUGUAUAGUGACUCUUCUCAAGAAAAUUGUAUUAUGGGGUGGCAUAAAUAGGAACUGACAAUGUAAAGGCGGCAAAAAAUGCCUUUGCCUCUACUGUCAACGCUAUCAGCUUCUACUUGGCUUGAUGCUGCAGCUAGGCGGCGGUGCCGGCCCCUAGAGUAGCGCCACCCAGGGCCAUGGCCCCCUCGGCACCCCCAUGCUAUGCUACUGUGAUUUUAUUUACUUCAACUGUGGUGUUCCUGUUCUAGUACUGCUAGACCUCAGCUAUUAUUUCUAGUGUUAGAUUAAUAUUCAAGGAUGGUAUCACAGUACAUUACUAAAAUUUUAUACAUAUGAUGAUGAUAUCUAUUACGGUAUUUUAAUGAGAGUGAGUUGUUCAUGUAUAAAAACUUCUUGAUUUCAGGCCCAUUGCACCGAUUUCCUAAACCUGAAUACCCACAUUUGGAAAAGUUUAACUCGUGGAAAAAAGUACUAGAUAAAGCUUUACAAGAGAAAGGCGACAUCUACAUUUAUAACCAAAUUCGAUUUUGCGACAGACAUUUUGAAGAGUGUUACCGUUCAGCCAGUCACCGACUUACUCCAAAUGCAAUACCAACUCUAGAUUUAUCUACAUUACCAGUUGGUCAAACUCUUGAAGGUCCAUCGGGACAUGUCGAGGCAGACAUGUCGAAUUUAUUAAACAUUUCGCAAGAUAAACUUGCUGUCAUUGAGCCAUCCAGCUCUACCCACUAUCAUAGUGAUGUACAGAAUGCAUUACAGACAGCUGAACGCCCUAAAGGUAAAUAUUUUUAUUGACAAUUG